CUGAACUUGGCUCAGCUGCCGGGCUGCUCCGGUUGGAAACGCCAAGCCAGCUGCGUCCUAAUCCAAAAGCCAUGAACAGCGGCGUGUGCCUGUGCGUGCUGAUGGCGGUACUGGCGGCUGGCGCCCUGACGCAGCCGGUGCCUCCCGCAGAUCCCGCGGGCUCCGGGCUGCAGCGGGCAGAGGAGGCGCCCCGUAGGCAGCUGAGGGUAUCGCAGAGAACGGAUGGCGAGUCCCGAGCGCACCUGGGCGCCCUGCUGGCAAGAUACAUCCAGCAGGCCCGGAAAGGUAAGAAUGCUGCCUCCCCAUCCCUCACUUCUGCCCUUGUUCCCAGGCUCCCAAUGCUGACCCUCUUCUCUAGCGCUGGCCUGAUGGGGAUGACCUCUCUCGGUAGGAAACAAGCAACAUGGUUUCUGGCGGUCCUUUGUAGCAAUCUGAGAAGGGGUAUGGAGGACUUAAUUUAUAAGUAAGGGGAACCUUCUUGAAAAGCUUUCUUUGAACUAAUUUUUAGCAGUGUUGCUGAUUAAGUUCAACACCAUUUUACCAAGCCAUUAAAAGAUAAUUAUUGAACCCUAGGAAAGGGUUCCUAGAUACACUGAAUACCCUCUACUGAAAACGCAAAGGACCUUGGAGCCACCCAGAUACCAACCCUUGGAAAUCCUCUAGCAGGAAGGGGUCAAUGCUGAGAAUGCCUGAGAUCUGGCUACGACAGUUUAAAACA
rnacentral:sRNA from 1 species